rnacentral:rRNA from 1 species
GGGGAAUUUUGCGCAAUGGGGGCAACCCUGACGCAGCGACGCCGCGUGGGUGAAGAAGGCCUUCGGGUUGUAAAGCCCUGUCUAGGGGGAAGAUAGUGACGGUACCCCUGGAGGAAGCCCCGGCUAACUACGUGCCAGCAGCCGCGGUAAUACGUAGGGGGCGAGCGUUGUCCGGAAUUACUGGGCGUAAAGGGCGUGUAGGCGGCCAAGCAAGUCAGCUGUGAAACACCCCGGCUCAACCGUGGUUCUGCAGUUGAAACUGCGUGGCUUGAGUGCAGGAGAGGAGGGUGGAAUUCCUGGUGUAGCGGUGAAAUGCGUAGAUAUCAGGAGGAACACCGGUGGCGAAGGCGACCUUCUGGCCUGUUACUGACGCUGAGGCGCGAAAGCUAGGGGAGCGAAC